CAAUAGCGUAUAUUUAAGUUGUUGCAGUUAAAAAGCUCGUAGUUGGAUUUCGGGUGGGACCGACCGGUCUGUCGUUCUGAUAUGUACUGGUCGAGCUCAUCUUGCUGUCGGGGACUCGCUUCUGGCCUUAACUGGCUGGAACGGGGAGUCGGCGAUGUUACUUUGAAAAAAUUAGAGUGUUCAAAGCAGGCUUACGCAUUGAAUACAUUAGCAUGGAAUAACGCUAUAGGACUCCGAUCCUAUUGUGUUGGUCUUCGGGACUGGAGUAAUGAUUAAGAGGGACAGUUGGGGGCGAUUCGUAUUUCAUUGUCAGAGGUGAAAUUCUUGGAUUUAUGAAAGACGAACUUCUGCGAAAGCAUUUGCCAAGGAUGUUUUCAUUAAUCAAGAACGAAAGUUGGGGGCUCGAAGACGAUUAGAUACCAU
rnacentral:rRNA from 1 species